AUGGCUCAGAACGAACGCUGGCGGCGCGUCUUAAGCAUGCAAGUCGAACGGCAAGAGGUAGCAAUACCUCCUAGAGUGGCGGACUGGUGAGUAACACGUGGGUGACAUACCCUUCAGAUGGGGAUAGCUAUUAGAAAUAGUAGAUAAUACCGAAUACGAGCACAGGGGUUAGAGAUCUGUGAGGAAAGGAGCUAAGGCUCCGCUGAAGGAAUGGCCUGCGGCCCAUUAGCUAGUUGGUGAGGUAAGAGCCCACCAAGGCGAUGAUGGGUAUCCGGCCUUAGAGGGUGAACGGACACAUUGGGACUGAGAUACGGCCCAGACUCCUACGGGAGGCAGCAGCUAAGAAUAUUCCGCAAUGGACGAAAGUCUGACGGAGCGACGCCGCCGUGGAUGAAGAAGGCCGGAAGGUUGUAAAAUCCUUUUGAAACUGAAGAAUAAGCGUUGUAGGGAAUGACAGCGUGGUGACAGUAGGUUUUGAAUAAGCAACGGCUAAUUACGUGCCAGCCGCCGC
rnacentral:rRNA from 1 species